GACUGGACAUGCAGAUCUUUCCGAGACCAGGGAUGAUGCUUUAGUGUAUCCCAUAGUCCUGGAGCACAGAUGCACACAGCAGUUAAGUCACAAAAGCAAUCCCUUCGGUGUCGCCAGCUAACUCUUGCUUUUCUUUGGUGGACCAUUGCAAAGAUGGACUCCGUCCCUGAUUCUAGACUGUCCAGCAUUUUUAUUAGUGCCAUGAGCAGAAAUACAGAAGUUCCCAUUUCCUCAAUUACAGAGGGCAUGGUAGUGGGAGGGAGAGUGGAAAGACCUCCAGUGAAAAAAUCUGAAUCGGCCUGGACAAUGAACACCUCCAUGCAUAUCCCUUCAUGA
rnacentral:lncRNA from 1 species